rfam:Canis lupus familiaris chromosome 6, whole genome shotgun sequence.
GCCUGGGUGGCUCAGUGGUUGAGCGUCUGCCUUCAGCUCAGGGCGUGGUCCCGAGGUCCUGGGAUCGAGUCCCACAUCAGGCU